GAAACUGCGAACGGCUCAUUACACCAGCCUUAAUUUACUUGACCUUGACACCCUACUUGGAUAACUGUGGUAAUUCUAGAGCUAAUACAUGCACCAAAGCUCCAAUCUCCCCAGAGCGGAGCGCAUUUGUUCGCCACAAAACCAAGCGCCUCAGGGCGUUCAGUGUUGACUCAGAACAACUAAGCUGAUCGCACGGUCUUGCACCGGCGACGUGUCUUUCAAGUGUCUGCCUUAUCAACUUUCGAUGGUAGUGUAUCUGACUACCAUGGUGAUGACGGGUAACGGAGGAUAAGGGUUCGACUCCGGAGAAGGGGCCUGAGAAAUGGCCACUACGUCUAAGGAUGGCAGCAGGCGCGCAAAUUACCCACUCUCGACGCGAGGAGGUAGUGACGAGAAAUAACGAGACCGUUCUCAUCUGAGGCCGGUCAUCGGAAUGGGUACAAUUUAAACCCUUUAACGAGUAUCUAUGAGAGGGCAAGUCUGGUGCCAGCAGCCGCGGUAAUUCCAGCUCUCAAAAUGCAUAGAAUUAUUGCUGCGGUUAAAAAGCUCGUAGUUGGAUCUGUGCUGAGCGACCGGUCUGCCCACUGGGCACGCACUGGCUCGCCCGGCUUUCCCUGCCGGUCUCUCUCUGACGUUGGUUUUAACCGACUGGCGUCAGUGGGCUGGCGAGUUUACUUUGAACAAAUCAGAGUGCUUCAAACAGGCGUCUCGCCUGAAUGUUCGUGCAUGGAAUAAUAGAAGAGGAUCACGGUCCGAUUUUAUUGGUUUUGCUGACCGAGAUAAUGGUUAACAGAGACAAACGGGGCCAUUCGUAUUGCUACGUGAGAGGUGAAAUUCUUGGACCGUAGCAAGACGGACUACAGCGAAAGCAUUUGGCAAGAAUGUCUUCAUUAAUCAAGAACGAAAGUCAGAGGUUCGAAGGCGAUCAGAUACCGCCCUAGUUCUGACCGUAAACGAUGCCAACUAGCGAUCCGCCGGCGGAUUCAUUCGCCCUGGUGGGGAGCUUCCCGGAAACGAAAGUCUUCCGGUUCCGGGGGAAGUAUGGUUGCAAAGCUGAAACUUAAAGGAAUUGACGGAAGGGCACCACCAGGAGUGGAGCCUGCGGCUUAAUUUGACUCAACACGGGGAAACUCACCCGGCCCGGACACCGUAAGGAUUGACAGAUUGAUAGCUUUUUCAUGAUUCGGUGGAUGGUGGUGCAUGGCCGUUCUUAGUUCGUGGAGCGAUUUGUCUGGUUUAUUCCGAUAACGAGCGAGACUCUGGCCUACUAAAUAGUUGGCACAUUGCCACUGUGUGCACAACUUCUUAGAGGGAUUUUCGGUGUUCAGCCGCACGAAAUUGAGCAAUAACAGGUCUGUGAUGCCCUUAGAUGUCCGGGGCUGCACGCGCGCUACACUGGCAAAAUCAGCGUGCUUGUCCUCCCCCGAAAGGGGUUGGUAAACCGAUGAAAAUUUGCCGUGAUUGGGAUCGGACAUUGCAAUUAUUGUCCGUGAACGAGGAAUCCCUUGUAAGGGCGAGUCAUCAACUCGUCCUGAAUACGUCCCUGCCCUUUGUACACACCGCCCAUCGCUGCCCGGGACUGAGCCAUUUCGAGAAAACCGGGGAUUGUUGGCCUGACCGCUCUCGGGUUGUCUAGCCGAUGAGAACCGGCUUAAUCGCACUGGUUUGAACCGGGCAAAAGUCGUAACAAGGUAGCUGUAGGUGAACCUGCAGAUGGAUCA
rnacentral:rRNA from 1 species